UACGGAGGGAGCUAGCGUUGUUCGGAAUUACUGGGCGUAAAGCGCGCGUAGGCGGUCUGCCAAGUCAGAGGUGAAAUCCCGGGGCUCAACUCCGGAACUGCCUUUGAAACUAGCGGACUGGAAUCUUGGAGAGGCGAGUGGAAUUCCGAGUGUAGAGGUGAAAUUCGUAGAUAUUCGGAAGAACACCAGUGGCGAAGGCGACUCGCUGGACAAGUAUUGACGCUGAGGUGCGAAAGCGUGGGGAGCAAACAGG
rnacentral:rRNA from 1 species